AGCGAACGCUGGCGGCAGGCCUAACACAUGCAAGUCGAACGAACUCUUCGGAGUUAGUGGCGGACGGGUGAGUAACACGUGGGAACGUGCCUUUUGGUUCGGAAUAACUCAGGGAAACUUGUGCUAAUACCGAAUGUGCCCUUCGGGGGAAAGAUUUAUCGCCAUUAGAGCGGCCCGCGUCUGAUUAGCUAGUUGGUGAGGUAACGGCUCACCAAGGCUACGAUCAGUAGCUGGUCUGAGAGGAUGACCAGCCACACUGGGACUGAGACACGGCCCAGACUCCUACGGGAGGGAGCAGAGGGGAAUCUUGCGCAAUGGGCGAAAGCCUGACGCAGCCAUGCCGGGUGAAUGAUGAAGGUCUUAGGAUUGUAAAAUUCUUUCACCGGGGACGAUAAUGACGGUACCCGGAGAAGAAGCCCCGGCUAACUUCGUG
rnacentral:rRNA from 1 species